GACGUAGGGCGCGAGCGUUGUCCGGAUUUAUUGGGCGUAAAGAGCUCGUAGGCGGCUUGUCGCGUCGGCUGUGAAAUCCCGUGGCUCAACUGCGGGUCUGCAGCCGAUACGGGCAGGCUAGAGUUCGGUAGGGGAGACUGGAAUUCCUGGUGUAGCGGUGAAAUGCGCAGAUAUCAGGAGGAACACCGGUGGCGAAGGCGGGUCACUGGGCCGCAACUGACGCUGAGGAGCGAAAGCAUGGGGAGCGAACAGG
rnacentral:rRNA from 1 species